GGAGCUAAAAGAAGGGAAAGGAAGUUG
rnacentral:piRNA from 1 species